GGCCUGGUGGUGUAAUGGUAACACACCCUCUACCGGUGAACGGAUUAAAUAGUGUUUAUGAGGAGGUUCCUUGUUCGAGCCAAGGUCGGGCCG